rnacentral:rRNA from 1 species
CAGCAGCCGCGGUAAAACGAAGGUCCCGAGCGUUGUUCGGAAUCACUGGGCGUAAAGGGAGCGUAGGCGGCGUGGUAAGUCAGAUGUGAAAUCCCGGGGCUCAACCCCGGAACUGCAUCCGAUACUGCCAUGCUAGAGGAUUGGAGAGGUAGCUGGAAUUCUUGGUGUAGCAGUGAAAUGCGUGGAGAUCAAAAGGAACACUCGUGGCGAAAGCGAGCUACUGGACAAUAACUGACGCUGAGGCUCGAAGGCCAGGGUAGCGAAAGGGAUUAGAUACCCCCGUAGUCCCUGUCUCUUAUAC